GGCGAAAAUUAACCAGCGAAAAAAAUCGCAAACCAAUCGCCCGCACGUACGAGCGAGGUCUCGUGCCCUCGAGCGAGAAACAGUCGCCCGACUCUGUGCCCUCCUUCGCCCGCCGCCGCCCUUCGUCCCUUCACCGCCACCGCUCCAUCCCUUCGCCGCCGCCCUGGCCAACGAGCCUCCCUCAAUCUGUUUCCUAAGAUCUCUCGAGACCGCCCCAGCCCCGAGACAGGCAGCCACCGAGAUCCGAGAUCGGAGAUGAGCCGCCUCCGCUGAGGAACGAGAGGAGCCGCCGCCUCCAGGUCGUCGUUGUGCCACACCGCCGCCUCCAGGUCGCCGCCGUCACGCACUGCCUCAGGUGUUCGUUUUGCACAUGUUCAUAGUGGGCAACCUCGAGGUCAUCGUCACUUCGAGCGCGGCGAGAUCCUCGAGGUCGUCAUCAUCACAGACAAGGGCACUGGCAGAUCCAAUGGCGGCGGAUUCAUGAGAGGCGGAGGCGGCCAUUAGGGCGUGCUUCAGUCUGUACCCGAUGAUUGGCGGCCGGAGGGCAACUGCAACCUCGCAUGCCUCGGGUCCAGAGGUCCAAGGCACGACAACCAACUGCCUCUUCAGCCAUAUGCUGGGUGUCCGUGUUGAACGUAGCAGAUGGUUGCCCUUCAAGCAUCAACAAAUUGGAAAUUUCAAGCCCUGAUGAGAUUACAAGCAGGGCAGAAAGGGAAUCAACACCAUCACGCCAAAACAUUGAAGCGUAUUUCCGAAAAUGAUAAUUCCUACGAUUCAAAGUUUUUGGACAAAGUUUGAAACUCGAAGGACGACUGCCGUAGUAGGAUGAAGAAAUGAUGUCGCGCACUGGAGGGUGUUGCCGUCGGUCGUGCGUUAGGCGUCUGUUCUACUGAAAGUCGCUCCCAAGAGGGCGUCCAUGGUCUAUGCCUCGAGAAGCAAAGAAGGGACUCCAACUACAUCAUUGACACAGCAGCCGAGCAGAGCAUGAAAGCAUGUCGUUGAUACAAAUAUUCAGUUGCCACGGCCAUUGAUACAACAGCGGGGCAGAUCAUGAAUGUCAGAGACACGGUGGAGGUGACGCUACCUUUCUCGUCUUGGCAUCAUGCAGAUACUGGUAGUUUAGAUGUUAUUUGCCACACCGCGGAGAUCUCAUGUUCAAGCCCAUCGGAAGUGCAUAAUUUUGGUGAAGGUCGAUGUAAAUGAUUUUACUUGAGCUGACACUUCUCCUCCGGUCUCAUUUACCAUCAGUAUUGGAAUUGGAUGUCGUUCCUAUUACACAACAAAAUGUGCAAGGUUAGGUUGCAGUUCAGUGUGGCAUUCUGGCAUAUGUUUCGGGGUACUGGAGGAGAUCCUUUUGGUGCACCUACAAAGAACUGGCCUUGGGAGGAUGGCACAAAUUCCCUGGCCAUGGCUAAGAGAAGAAGUAUGGGAAUUACCUGAUCUUGUGUCUUAGGUCCAUGGCUGGAAUCAACAACUUAUGCUUCGAUUUCUGUUUUGGUGAUAUCUCAAUUCGAGUUCAUGAAGAAGCUUGGAGUUGACAGGCGGUGCUUCCAUGACAGGGACAUCACCCCUGAUGGGAAAACACUCGCGGUAUUAUUUUAUUAGAAUGAUUCUUGAAGUUGCAAGUUGCAACCUCGAGUUAGGGGAAUUGAGACGGGUAGUGACCGACAUUAGAGCAGGUUUAUUAUGAUUGUAUUUACAAGGGUACAUGACUAUGUUUUCAGCACAAGGAAUAUGGUUAUUGAUGGUUUACGCCCCGGCUGCGCCCACAUCGUCCCGACACCAAGUUCAAGACCAAGUUCUAACCCCUGUACCCAAUCUACCUCCAUGGAUCGUGUCUCUCACUACCCAAGAGCAUCAAUUCAACUCGACAGAUUGACAAAAGAGAUGAACCUAGAGUUUGAGGCUUGGGUAGUGUGGACACUGACCUGAUGAUGAGUGUUGUAUGGUGGUCAAGUGGUGCCACUUCCCCUCGCCACAUGCUGCUUAGUCUGCUCAUUGAAGGUGCUCUCUGUUAGUGUUUGGCUGCUGCUGCUGCUGUAGGUCAAGGGCAUGCUAUGAUUACUUUGGUGGAGACAUAUUUAAGAAUGGUGUUAUCACUGAAUGCCCUUGAUGUCUGCCAAGAAGGGAGCAAGCGGCAGAAGAUUAUGAUAUUGCUGCUAUUGGGAGAUGCAGUAAAAUAUGGACAAGUUCCUGUAUUUUAUGGAAGGUGUAGUAUUGAAGCUUCUUGCACUGAUCUAGAAUGGAUCUUGACUUCGCCCAAGAGUGAGAUGUGAAAGCGCAUGUUACAUAAGAAAUCAUUAUCUCUGAAGCAUACUCACAUUGGACCAAGAACUAGGCGAGGUUCAGACUUCAGAGAAAUGAUAACAAGUCUCCUUUCCAUUCGAGCGGGGCGAUGAGGGAAAGAACUGGUUGUGGUGAAAGUUAGUUUAGUGCAUCAAGGAUUGGAGGUUCUGAGAUUUGCAAGAGGUGAUGGAGGAUGUUUAGUUACUUUGGCUCCUGAUAGAGUACUGGAAGAUGAGUACAAGCAUAAGCUUAUUCAAAAUCUGAAGUUCCUGACUGCAUGAGACAUGUACUCCCUUUGUUCCUAAAUAUAAUUCCUUUUAGAGAUUCCACUAUAGAGACUAGAUUCGGAUGUAUAUAGACGCCUUUUAGAGUAUAUGUUCGCUCAUUUUGCUCUGUAUGUAGUCUAUAGUGAAAUCUCCAAAAGACUUAUAUUUAGGAACGGAGGGAGUAUUUUGUAAUCUUUUUUUUCUUCUUUUUCAUUUUCUUCUACUUAUUUUCAGUUUGAACGAACGGAGGGAACAACAUGAAGAUGGGUAGCACUAUACAGUUUUAUAGCAGUAACAUUUGCGAGCUUCUUAAAUUUGGUAUC